rnacentral:rRNA from 1 species
GACGAACGCUGGCGGCGUGCCUAAUACAUGCAAGUAGAACGCAGUUGCGAACGGGUGAGUAACGCGUAGGUAACUGCCUGGUAGCGGGGGGUAACUAUUGGAAACGAUAGCUAAUACCGCAUACUACCAGAUGGACCUGCGUUGAGUUAGCUAGUUGGUGGGGUAACGGCUCACCAAGGCAACGAUACAUAGCCGACCUGAGAGGGAGAUCGGCCCCCCUUGGACUGAGACACGGGCCAGACUCCUACGGGAGGCAGCAGUAGGGAAACUUCGGAAAUGGACGGAAGUCUGACCGAGCAACGCCGCCGGAGAGAAGAAGGUUUUCGGAUCGUAAAGCUCUGUUGUAAGAGAAGCGGUAUCUUACCAGAAAGGGACGGCUAACUCCGUGCCAGCAGCCGCGGUAAUUC